GGUUUACUCCCUCCGUUUCAUAAUUUUUGUCUUAAAUUUGUCAAAAAAUGUAUGUAUUUAUUCCUAAAAAGUGUCUAAAUACAUGUAAUAUUUCGACAGGAAUUAUGAAACGGAGGGAGUAGUUU
rfam:Brachypodium distachyon strain Bd21 chromosome 4, whole genome shotgun sequence.